rnacentral:misc_RNA from 1 species
GGAAAAUAAGAUUUCUAGUGAAUUGCUUCUUCUCUGCUCCCGCCUUCACACCGCCGUUACCGGCAGCGAGUAAAAUCUUCGCCUCCGUCAACCUCCACCGUGGCUCCGUCAUCUCACUGCAACUCCCCACCUCUACCGUGAAUCGAAGUUAACGGAAUCGAGAAAAACCAUUAUAUUUGCUCCGUCAUCUCACUGUAACUCCUCCUUCUCCGUCGUCACACUGCUGUCGACGGGUGAAUCCACUCAAAUUAUGCAAAAUAUGGAAGUAGAGAGAGUUUUUAUAGGAGCAGGAUGCAACAGAGUAGUGAAUAACGUUUCAUGGGGUGCUUCUGGUUUAGUUUCUUUUGGUGCCCAAAAUGCUGUUGCCAUUUUCUGUCCAAAGACAGCUCAAAUCUUGACUACACUGGCUGGUCAUAAAGCUUCUGUGAAUUGUACCCUUUGGCUUCCCAAUAGCAAGUUUGCAUUCAAAGCUAAGCAGCUGGAGCAACAUCUUUUGCUUUCUGGAGAUGCGGAAGGUGUAAUAAUUUUGUGGGAGUAUUCUCUUGUGGAUGCGAAGUGGAGAUAUGUCUUACAAGUGCCACAAGUCCACAAAAAAGGUGUUACCUGCAUCACGGCGAUCAUGGUGUCUCAGCAAGAAGCUGUUUUUGCAUCUGCAUCCUCUGAUGGCACUGUGAAUGUAUGCGAAGUAGUAUUUCCAUCUACUCGUGGAGGUGAUUGCAAAUUGUCGUGCUCGGAUUCUCUUUUUGUUGGUCAGAAACCUAUGGUUGCUCUUUCACUAGCAGAGCUCCCAGGGAAUAGCAAGCAGCUGGUUCUGGCCAUGGGAGGAUUGGACAACAAAAUUCAUCUAUAUUGUGGUGAGAGAAAUGGAAAAUUUCU